rnacentral:rRNA from 1 species
GACGUAGGGCGCAAGCGUUGUCCGGAAUUAUUGGGCGUAAAGAGCUCGUAGGCGGCUUGUUGCGUCGACUGUGAAAAACCACGACUCAACCGUGGGACUGCAGUUGAUACGGGCAGGCUAGAGUUCGGUAGGGGAGACUGGAAUUCCUGGUGUAGCGGUGAAAUGCGCAGAUAUCAGGAGGAACACCGGUGGCGAAGGCGGGUCUCUGGGCCGAUACUGACGCUGAGGAGCGAAAGCGUGGGGAGCGAACAGG